UUGAGCGAUUUACUUCGGUAAAGAGCGGCGGACGGGUGAGUAACGCGUGGGUAACCUACCCUGUACACACGGAUAACAUACUGAAAGGUAUGCUAAUACGGGAUAAUAUAUUUGAGAGGCAUCUCUUAAAUAUCAAAGGUGAGCCAGUACAGGAUGGACCCGCGUCUGAUUAGCUAGUUGGUAAGGUAACGGCUUACCAAGGCGACGAU
rnacentral:rRNA from 1 species